rnacentral:rRNA from 1 species
UACAGAGGUCCCAAGCGUUGUUCGGAUUCACUGGGCGUAAAGGGUGCGUAGGCGGUCGGGUAAGUCUGACGUGGAAUCUUCAAGCUUAACUUGGAAACUGCGUCGGAUACUAUUCGGCUAGAGGAAUGGAGGGGAGACUGGAAUACUUGGUGUAGCAGUGAAAUGCGUAGAUAUCAAGUGGAACACCAGUGGCGAAGGCGAGUCUCUGGACAUUUCCUGACGCUGAGGCACGAAAGCCAGGGGAGCAAACGGG